UAAUUACCUUCUCAGCAGCAACCCUUUGUUUUUCUUGAAGUUCCUUGUUGUGCAUGAGUUCCAUAAGCAAUGAGGCUAGAUUUGUCGGCGUGCAUGCUUGAAAGAGAGCUUCAGGAAUUAUAGCAGAAUCCAUGAGUAUAUUGGGCAGAGAAAUGUAUGGUAUCUUUGCUUUAUACCAAAUAAACCAUUCAGUUAGGAUAUGGGCUCGAUAGGCAACUACACAUGGCAAGCGUGCAAGCUGCAACUCCACAGCGACUGUUCCAGAAGUACAUAAUGCAACACUACAGGCACUAAAGGCAUCGUAUUUUGUGUGUGGUUGACCUCCGGGAAUCAAUAUAACAGGCAC
rnacentral:misc_RNA from 1 species